AAACCAUUGAGAAAAUGCAAAGGCGUCUGAUGUGAAUAUUUCACUGAAUUUAAGGGGAAUUUCUCACAGAUGGCUGCAGCAUGGAGUGAUCCCUUGGAAACAACUGACAACAACUACAUCCUGAACUCCAGCACAAUCCCCCAGCUAGAAGCAUUCACACCUCCAUUUGAAUAUGAGGCAAAGAUCAUAAACCUCCAUGCACACAACUGCCCUACCAAACCACUUUGCUACUUUGGUGUAGCAAACCAUUUCUGCAAGUUUGCGUGAAAAAUCACCUCAGAGUGGAAGCAAUUAAGCACAAAGCUCAGCCUUCAGACAUAAAACAAGCAG